rnacentral:rRNA from 1 species
CCCUUAGAUGUUCUGGGCCGCACGCGCGCUACACUGAUGCAUUCAACGAGUUUCUUCCUGGUCCGAGAGGAAUGGGUAACCUUUUGAAAGUGCAUCGUGAUAGGGAUAGACUAUUGCAAUUAUUGGUCUUUAACGAGGAAUUCCUAGUAGACGUAGUUCAUCAGACUGCAUCGAUUACGUCCCUGCCCUUUGUACACACCGCCCGUCGCUCCUACCGAUUGAAUGCUCAGGUGAGCCAUUCGGACUUUCAUCAUGCUGGUUUCCAGUUUUGAUGAAGGAAAGUCUUGCGAACCUUAUCAUUUAGAGGAAGGAGAAGUCGUAACA